AAAGUCUGGUAUCUCUUCAGAUUAUAUCAAUUUUUCACCUUUUCCUAAAGAUUUAUGUGAAGAGAAACAAUUCUGAGUCUUAACCAAAUUUUUUGAGGCCUUUAGUCUUCAAGGCA
ensembl:snRNA U5 U5 spliceosomal RNA